GCGAAGCCGCGGGGCGCACCCCCUACUCUUCUGGGCGCCCCUCGGGCCGGCGCCCCUGGAGUCUCCUCAUGUGUUUGACAAUAUACGACCCCUCUCGUCGCCACUUCAGCGUUGGGGCUGAGGCGCAGGGGUGGCGUUACUGGGGUACUUUCUGGACGCGAGAGGGUUAAAGGCAAGGCGACAAUACAAAUAUAAAAGGUGUGAAGACUGCAGUCUUACUGUCCCUCUGUGAGACUUUAGCAUAGCAUGAAUUGUGUGGUAAUGGAAAAUCAAACGCUGUUCAUACCUGCCUGGAGUUGCAUGAAAAUAUCAAAGUUUUGAUGGGAAGGAAAAAAGAAAGGAGGUGCCAGGUGUGUUAUCCCACUUCUUUUUCAUCAUACUAAGUCAGGAGCUGCUGGGUGGCUGGACCACAUUCCAUUUAGUCUCUUCCUUGGAGAGAAUCCUCCCUCACGACAGACACUUAGGAAGAAAAAGCUAGAGUCUAAUGCUGGGAGCGACUUCAGCACGUGUCAGCCGGCUCACCUACGUCUGUCAAGGAGCACAAGUAUGUGUCCUGAGGAGCAGCCUGGGUCCACACAGCUCUCGGCCCAGCACAUUCCAACACAGCCAGUCAGGGAAGAGCCAUAGGGCACAGUAGGGGCGGGGGUACAGAUACUUGGAUUCCCAAGCGUGAAUCACAUUAUUUUU